UACACUAAACUAUACUGCCACCCUAGCCUCCCUCCUCUUUCACGACUCAAUCUCGGCUUCUCUCAGACUUCGUUCUCGCCAUUCCCACUGCCAUCACUCUCUUUCCAGCCUCCUCUCCCUCACAUCGCAGCUCUCCUCCACCUACAGUCUGCAGUCUCCACCCCAUUACGACGGCUCUCCCGACGGUUCCAUCCCUACGGCGUCGCUCUCCACCCCAUCGGCCACACCACCACAUCACAGGCAUAAACCUUCUCUCGUCUCGACCUCUCUCUGAUAUAUCUGCAACUUUGCUUCUUAGUAUACAAACGUGUGCGGAAUUAACAAGGAGCAUUGGAAAAGCUUGCUAUUAAUUGGAAGAGAUUAUCGCAAGGCUCGCGGUCAGGAUCGCACUUAGGUCGUAUAGUCUAUCGCAUGGAACUAGAGGUGUAGAGAACGUCUUGGAAGAUCUUGGUGUGAGUACUCUAGCGAGGACAGGAAGAUCGAAAUAUAUACGAAAAGAUUCAAGGAUUCUUGAUAGGCUACAAGAGCAAGCUAAAUGGAGCACAAUUGAGUAGAUUGAUUGCUCUAUACUCUGCAAGGAGGCUAGAAAUGAUUCUUCUAGUAACUAUGCCAUUGAUCGUGACAAGAUCAUAGGAGAGGCCAUUAAAGACAUGUUUGAGCAAAGAAAAGAGGGCAAACUCAUUGAGAUUGGAACGAAUGACAUUUUGACACAAGUUUUGGGAAUUGCUGAGCACCCAAGUAGAGUUCGAGGCCAAAGUUGGGGUGUAACAUAGAGACUAUUUUCAUAAGCCUGUUGGGAGGGAGGGGUCUAAGUGGCUUGCAGAAAAAACAAAUUGAGUUUUAACAACAAUCCAACAUACCACAUAAAGAGGAGAUUGAGAGUUUGAAAGAAUCGUUCAUGUUGAAGUUUGAAGAGUUAUCAACGAAGAUGGCACAUAUGCAAGCUAACAUUGGUAGUCAGUGUAGCUUUGGUAGCCACUCAUGUAAAUACACUAGAAGUUGAGCACCGAUCCACUCAACCCCAGAAAUUGAUGUACCGAUUCACUCAACUCCACACAUUAAGGCACCGAUUCACUCUACUCCAGAAGUUGAGGCACCGAUUCACUCUACUUCAGAGGUUGAGACACAAAUUGACAUUACCCCUUCGUAUGAGAGAUCCACACCUACUAUUCAUGAUAACCAACCAAAGAUAAAUUCUCUUUUAUUAUUUAAGAAAUGAUAAUUAAACUUAUACUAACUAUUACAUCAUUGCAUAAAGAUGUUAAGUGAAAAUUAUAUGUUGGACAAGGUGGUGAUGUUGUGGCUCUUGGACGGGUGAUGGCUAUGACAGAUGAAGUGCAUGGGGUCAAAUUAGAGUGUGGUAACUAUCGCGUUGUUGUCGAUAAAUGUCUAGAUCAGAGUGAAAAACUACCUUGCUCAAAAGUUGGGGAUGAGAUGACCCUUGUGGUUCAUGCACUCAACAGUUUUGUUGCAUGGCUAUCACUUUUUAUCAUUACUUGUGAUGAUGACCAGGUAACAAAAGCUGCAAAAGAGAAUUUGAUUUCUUAUGUGGUUUUUUUAUCUAAAUUAUUCUAUGUUUAUUGUGAAGGAAUCCAAGAUACUAAUUAUAGUUAGUACAUGCACUUACAUAGUUAAGGCAAGGAUACUUACAUAGUUAAGACAAUGGUGUAUUUACAUAGUUAAUGCAAGAAUUAUACAUCUUGAUCUUGUAAAUUUAGUUUUAUAAUAUAUUGAAUUCUGUUGAU